rnacentral:rRNA from 1 species
GAUCAGCUCAGGACGAACGCUGGCGGCGUGCCUAAUGCAUGCAAGUCGUACGCAGGGAGCUUGCUCCGCUGCGUGGCGCACGGCUGAGGAACACGUGGGUAUCAACCCUGGAGUGGGGGAUACCCCAGCGAAAGCUGGGACAAUCCCGCAUACGUUCGCAAGAAGAAAGCCUUCGGGCGCUCCGGGACGAGCCUGCGGCCCAUCAGGUAGUUGGUGAGGUAAUGGCUCACCAAGCCGG